GGAAAACAUAAAGAUAAAAUACUACACUCAACACAUACAUGUGUUUGUUUAGUCACCACCACCUAUUAUUCUCUCCUCCAACCACUUAAAUUUCUCUUCCAUUUUUUUUUCUUCUUCCGCCUCUUUUAGAUUUUCCUGCAAUGCCGCAAUUUCUUGUUGCAUUUCAGAGAUUUGGCAUUGGUAUUCAUUGUUCAUAUUCCAAACAUACCGCAAAUAUGAUUUAUAGUAUUCCUGGUUAAUGGGUUUAUUAUACCAUUCCUAAAAAAUACAAUGAUUUCCGUCAUUGCGUUCAAACCUGUAUAGACACAUCCAAUAUCUGCGCCCAACAUUAUUGUUACGACCAAAAUCUAUGGGCCGUGACGGGCACCCAAUACCUUACUCAACCGAGUACCAACAUAGCAUAUCAUUCUUAUCGUACUUUCAUUGGAAAAUGGGCCAAACGGGCCAUCAUGGGCUAGCCAGAAUGAACAUGGAGGAGUACUCCAUAUAGGACGACCCAACCUGAUAUAAAAAAUUACAUAUGUGACAUACGGGCCUAUAAGGCUAACAUGAUCAUUUGUAAACUCAAAACAUAGACCGACAAGGCCAUACAAGUAUCCGUAUACAUGGCAUCUGUCUACAAGCAUCUAAGAGUACAUAAGUAUCAUAAAGGUCAGGACUGAGUCUCGCCAUACCAAUCAAUACAUGCCCAAAUUAUACUGACCAAAUAAGUAACUUCGGAGCAAAUGGAGCGCACCAACAUCUUCCGCUAAGCUGAUAGCCUACUUGGAGGACUCUCGACCUGACUAUCGGGACCUGCGGGGAUGAAACACAGCGUCCCCAGAAAAAAAGGGACGUCUGUACAAAUAAUGUACUGAGUAGGUAAGGGAUGAAAAUUAAUAAACAAUAGACAUGAGAGAAACAUGGAGUAAAAGACUCAACAUGUACGUCUUCAUAGCUCUAUGAAUCAUUUUAUUUUUAUAAUGUCAUGCAUAUGCGUAUAAAUGUCAUACCAUGCAUAAGUAUAUGUGUUCAUAACAUCAUCAAGCCUCUGAGGGCAUCCCAUCAUAUCAUUUAACCACUGUGGGCAAAUCAUCAAUGUAUACCACCCGAUCAUGUGGUGGUGCGUAUAUAAUGCUGUAACCUUUUUCUCAUAUCCCAUAUAAAUAUAAUAUACAUAUAUACGCAUAUAUAACGCCAUCUGGUGAUGGGUCAAUGUACAUCUGGUGAUGGGUCAAUGCAUGAAAUGCAUAAGAAAUACGUUAAUUAGAUUUCUCAAAAUGUCAUAAAAAUAAUAUGCUUGUCGGAUAAAAUUUAUCAAAUAUGUAUUUUUCUGAGACCCAUGAACAGAAGAUAUAAUAAUAAUUUAUACAUGGAAUCAAGAAUAUAGACACCCCUAGUAUUUCUAUGAAUAGAGUCAUUUAUAAAAGUUGUGCAUUUGUUCGUUUCGUUCGUGUCGUAUAGAUCAUGCCAAAAAGAAAGAAGGGAUAGCCUUAACAUACCUGGAUUAGGGAAACAUUCGUAUGAUAUUCUUGAGAAGGAUUGCACCGUACUCCCUUAAAAUCGCAAAAUCUCAUGUUGCUAAGUAUUCUAAGAAGUCUCGUAGUAUAAUCUUCAGAUGAAUUUUGCCGAAGACUUCUUUGAAUUGUAGAGAUUCAAAAUGAAUUCUCUGCUGAAGCCUCACCCGUUACUUUGCUUAAUUCCAAUUCACCUCUUUUUGUGAAUUAGAAAAGUCUUUAACUUAGUGGGUG
rnacentral:lncRNA from 1 species